GCCGGGUGAGGUGGCGGGUGCCUGUAGUCCCAGCUACUUGGGAGGCUGAGGCAGGAGAAUGGCGUGAACCCGGGAGGCGGAGCUUGCAAGUGAGCUGAGAUCCGGCCACUGCACUCCAGCCUGGGUGGCAGAGCGAGACUCCGUCUCAAAAAAAAAUAAAAAAAAAAAAAUAAAAUAAAAUUUUUUUUUUUUUUUUUCCUGAGACAGAGUCUCACUCUGUUGCUCAGGCUGGAGUGCAAUGGCGCAAUCUUGGCUCACUGCAACCUCUGCCUCCCGGGUUCAAGCAAUUCUCCUGCCUCAG
rnacentral:sRNA from 1 species